UUCCUCUUUGAAAUGCUGCGUGGAGCCUGGGGCCAGCGGCGAGUCCCACGCUGACCCCGGGCUCCAUGUGGCGUUUCAAUCUUUGA
rnacentral:pre_miRNA from 1 species